CACUGCCGAGAAAAGCCUCUAGAUAGAAAAUAGGUGCCCGUACCGCAAACCGACACAGGUAGUCAAGAUGAGAAUUCUAAGGUGAGCGAGCGAACUCUCGUUAAGGAACUCGGCAAAAUGACCCCGUAACUUCGGGAGAAGGGGUGCUCUUUAGGGUUAACGCCCAGAAGAGCCGCAGUGAAUAGGCCCAAGCGACUGUUUAUCAAAAACACAGGUCUCUGCUAAACCGUAAGGUGAUGUAUAGGGGCUGACGCCUGCCCGGUGCUGGAAGGUUAAGAGGAGUGGUUAGCUUCUGCGAAGCUACGAAUCGAAGCCCCAGUAAACGGCGGCCGUAACUAUAACGGUCCUAAGGUAGCGAAAUUCCUUGUCGGGUAAGUUCCGACCCGCACGAAAGGCGUAACGAUUUGGGCACUGUCUCAACGAGAGACUCGGUGAAAUCAUAGUACCUGUGAAGAUGCAGGUUACCCGCGACAGGACGGAAAGACCCCGUGGAGCUUUACUGUAGCCUGAUAUUGAAAUUCGGCACAGCUUGUACAGGAUAGGUAGGAGCCUUUGAAACGUGAGCGCUAGCUUACGUGGAGGCGCUGGUGGGAUACUACCCUAGCUGUGUUGGCUUUCUAACCCGCACCACUUAUCGUGGUGGGAGACAGUGUCAGGCGGGCAGUUUGACUGGGGCGGUCGCCUCCUAAAAGGUAACGGAGGCGCUCAAAGGUUCCCUCAGAAUGGUUGGAAAUCAUUCAUAGAGUGUAAAGGCAUAAGGGAGCUUGACUGCGAGACCUACAAGUCGAGCAGGGUCGAAAGACGGACUUAGUGAUCCGGUGGUUCCGCAUGGAAGGGCCAUCGCUCAACGGAUAAAAGCUACC
rnacentral:rRNA from 1 species